GACGACCGCUGGCGGCGUGCUUAACACAUGCAAGUCGAACGGAAAGGCCCUGCUUUUGUGGGGUGCUCGAGUGGCGAACGGGUGAGUAACACGUGAGUAACCUGCCCUUGACUUUGGGAUAACUUCAGGAAACUGGGGCUAAUGCCGGAUAGGAGCUCCUGCUGCAUGGUGGGGGUUGGAAAGUUUCGGCGGUUGGGGAUGGACUCGCGGCUUAUCAGCUUGUUGGUGGGGUAGUGGCUUACCAAGGCUUUGACGGGUAGCCGGCCUGAGAGGGUGACCGGCCACAUUGGGACUGAGAUACGGCCCAGACUCCUACGGGAGGCAGCAGUGGGGAAUAUUGCACAAUGGGCGGAAGCCUGAUGCAGCAACGCCGCGUGCGGGAUGACGGCCUUCGGGUUGUAAACCGCUUUCGCCUGUGACGAAGCGUGAGUGACGGUAAUGGGUAAAGAAGCACCGGCUAACUACGUG
rnacentral:rRNA from 1 species